rnacentral:rRNA from 1 species
AAUCAACGCUGGCGGCGUGCCUCAGACAUGCAAGUCGAACGCGAAAGUUCCCUUCGGGGGGCGAGUAGAGUGGCGCACGGGUGAGUAACACGUAGGUAAUCUACCUUUGGGUGGGGAAUAACAGCCGGAAACGGCUGCUAAUACCGCAUAAUGCAGCGGCUCGACAUCGAGACAGUUGUUAAAGCGGGGGAUCGCAAGACCUCGCGCCUAAAGAGGAGCCUGCGGCGGAUUAGCUUGUUGGUGAGGUAAUGGCUCACCAAGGCAUCGAUCCGUAGCCGGCCUGAGAGGGCGGUCGGCCACACUGACACUGACAUACGGGUCAGACUCCUACGGGAGGCAGCAGUCGGGAA